rnacentral:rRNA from 1 species
GCGGAGGAAAAGAAACUAACCAGGAUUCCCCUAGUAACGGCGAGUGAAGCGGGAGAAGCUCAUGAUGUGAAUCUGCGGCGGAAUUGUGGUCUAUAGUUGCUGGCAUUAUUGGGCCGGGCCAAGUCCCUUGGAACAGGGCAGCUGAGAGGGUGAGACUCCCGUUCGCCUGGUCCUUUGAGCCUGCUUCUACGAGUCGAGUUGUUUGGGAUUGCAGCUCCAAUUGGGUGGUAAAUUCCAUCUAAAGCAGAAUACUGGUGGGAGACCGAUAGCGUACAAGUACCGUGAGGGAAAGAUGCAAAGCCGCGCGAAAGCGCUGUUAAAGAGUACCUGAACUUGCUGAAAAGGAAGCGAAGGAAACCAGUGUUGGCUGCGUCAUACUUCCCCCUCUGCUUGCGGUGGGGGCGCUGUGGCCAGUGCGGUGCACGUUGGUUGUGGUUGCCGGAUUUGCUGUUGAGAGAGUUGAUCUUGGCUGC